GAAUUUGUUUGGCGCCUUUUCCAUGAUAGCUUGGGUUUGCUUGGUAGUCCAUCCAUGGUUCUCUGGUAAUUCUCAGAAUUUGUGGUCUUGGACAAGCAGAAGAAGUUGCCACAGCUUACUUGAAACACCAAAUCCAGAAUAAGCUUGCGCCGUACUAGAUAGUUCAAUGAUGCUUCUUUCUUUCUUUGAGUAUUAUAACUUGUUUUAUUUGUCACGUCCACAAGCUGAAGGAGAGAAAAAGGAGUGUUUUAUGGUAGGCAAUUCACUCGUCUUGUAAAGGUUGCUUUUAGUUGUCUCAAGUCUCACCUCCCCUAAUUGACUGUCUCACACAAUCGUCUCGCCCAUCUCCUGCACGUGUCUCACUUUUUGUAUCCAGGAAUAAAAACUCAGAUGGGUCAGAUAAAAAGACUUGAGUGAGCUGAUCAUCCAAGAAUCCAGCUCAAGUCACCUCCAUACUACGUCGUUAUGUGUCCUUCUUUAAUUCAGGAUCAUGACAACUAACAACUUGAUAUAAUAAUCUGUAUCAAUUGUAAAGCUCAUAAACUGAUAAAGAGAGACAGGUGUGUUUUACAGUGGGCAUGCAAGUGUCACUUUUCUCUGUCCAAGAAUCGAGACAAAGAAGGAACCACAUGAGAGGAGACAAGACAAGACAAGUAAAAGAGGGAAAGCAUAUAAAUACUUGAAACAUCUCCGACAUGGCAUUAGUUUGAUAGGUUCUAUCAGCAACAUCUACACCACAACAUGAAGAUCUUCAUCAGCCUCAUUGCUCUCUUGGUUGUCGCUUUGGCCGACAAUGCCCCCUAUCGUCCCGCCCCCUCUUAUAUAGAGGAGCCCAUUGCCCACCAACAUCAAUAUCCCGCGGUUGACGAUGUCAAAGACAGCUUUGCUCAAAACGAAGUUCGUAAAAAUUAUGCCACCAACCGUGUGGCCCUUCCUACUGACAAUACCCAUUUUGCAAGCAACAAUGCGGCUAAUGCCCAUUCUGGAUCUGUUUCUUCCAAGCGCACGCCUUCCAAACACGCUCCUUACCCGCGCAGCCCCCUACAGGCGUGCCCCUCACCAACGCACCCCUUACAACCGUGCUCCUCAUUCCAACUAAGAAGGCCUCUUUCAUAUAUUUCUUUUACUUACUUUUCAUGUUAGUUUUUGAGAGAAAUAUAUUUCCAUACCUUCAACA